UCACAAAGACGCGAGUGAUCGAUUUCUAUCGAUUUCCAAUAUUAAUCGAUUGAUUAGUAUCGAUUACGAUCGAUUACGUUCGAUUUCUAUUGAGUAUCAAAAUUAUCGAUUAGAUACGCCCUGCUGUAUAUAGCGGUCACCCUGUGUAUAACGGUCACUGAACAACUUCCCAAAAAUCGUCCCUUAUAUGUACUGUUAAGUUGACCUGCAUAUAGCGGUCACCUGUAUAAAACGGACGCGGUCACUCGUUAGACUUCCUAAAUCCACAAUUUCAUUAUCUUUUUCCUGUAUAUAACGGUCAGGAAACUGGGUUACGAUUAACGAAUAAUGCCAAGCUUUAUUCAUCCCCUCAUUAAAUAGCAGUCACCAAGGCUGGGGCCACACAAAAAUACAAAUGUUAGUACUAAACACAAUUACUAAUACAUGAACAUGACGAACUUUCUUUCGCACUGAGUAAAGUUAAUGACAUAGUACAUGAAAUCAAGCUUUGACAAUAACAACAACAACAACAACCAUUUAUUUGUACUCACAAUUUAUAAAUUAAUUACAAUAAACAUUAAAUUAGUAUAGAGUACUGCCUGCCCAAAAGCUCCGAAAUAUCAUAAAAUUAUAACAAUUUUUUUUCUUCUUGAAAUCCAUAUUGUUACUUUGAAAGCUUUUCCUACACGGAAACUUAGAUCCAAGUAUCUUGCACCUCCCUUAAAGUACACCAUGGACAUUUUGUGGCCUUUUUUAUCGUGUUUAUUGCAUUGCUGUUACUCGUUAUUGUCAAUAAAACAUUAAUUGAGUGACUAUUCUACAUAAAAAUGCUAUUUAUUGACUUCCAGAGAGGAAACGUGUGCAGCGGUCACCUGGCCAUUUCUCAGUGGUGACCAUUAUAUACAGGUUUGACUGUAUUCAAGGUUUUAGCCUAAAAGAUUAGGUUAUGCAAGACCUGCAUGCAUUAAUUUGUAUCAAAGUUACCUUGCUUUUGUAAGUAAGCUUCAUGAUGUUUCAAUUUUUUUUUCUUUCUGACACCAAACUCAGUUCUCCAAACGUUACUCCAUUUUUCUAUUUCCUUGUUUUCGACCAGUAGCUAAUGCGAGCCUUAUACAAUAUUUUAAUUGCUAUUAGAUUAUGGAAUAGGUACCAAAGCCCAAAAUCAAACCAUGUGUACUAAGUAAUUGAAAUUAGACCGAAUGGAGUACAAUUCAGGGAGUAAUCGCGCGAGUAAUUUAAAAAUAGGACAAGCGCGAAGCACAAGGCUGAUUGGAAUUACAAGCACGAUUACUCCCUGAAUUGUAGGACACUAAGUCCAGUUACUAAUUAAUUGUAUCUCUAACAAAUUUCGAAACUAACAAUGUCUUUUGACAACUUCUUUUGAGGGAAAACGUAUGUAGCGCGUUUCAUCAGUUUUGAAAACUGUACGAAACAUUGCAAAGAAAGCCAUUAAAGCGUACACAAUUGAUGUGUGAAUCACGUCGGUAUCCAAUUACAUCUGUCCAAUUAAAAAAAGUUCAAAUUGGAUACCUGUAAUUGGACACCCACCUGAUGAUGCGCUGAUUACCUGGCAAAUAGGCACGCGGAGAACCAAUCACGAUCAAGAAUUUUGUUAUAGAUACUGUAAGGGACUGCAUGUCAAUAUGUAAGUACUAAGAUACAUCUGAUAUCUGGCCAGUUAGUUAAUCAGACCCCAUCUAAAUGGACACAAUUAAUUAAACACAUUUUCGUUGUUAAUUGCAUAUAAUGAGAAUUAUACUAGGGCGGCAAAGUGGCCUGAAGUUAUAAUUCAAAUUAUAUGAGCAGAUGAAGUGAGAAAUAUAUGAGCUUCCCACCCUUCUUCCCUCCCUCUUAUGAGGUCUCUCUUUUGCCUGUCUAUUCCAUUGUGUCAAAAAGCCACCAAAGCAUCAUGGGACGACAAGAUCUAGGACCCAGCGCCUUGUGGGUAUACCCAGGCCUCUUUUAUUGUUUCUUUAGGAGGGUUCGCCCUUCUGUUGGCGUUAAAAAGUCAUUUGAAGCACUAACCGGGAAAUUCCUACAAUUUGUUGUGUCAUAUAUUUCAAACGGAGUCUGUGAAAUAUAAUAUGCCUGCUCAAAAGCGAGAUCAAUCAUUUAUACCAAAUGUAUUGAAAACUUUGAAAAUUAUUUCAUUACAGGAGCAUGGAAUAAGUGCAAAUGAUGUCAAAAAGCUACAAUAAGCUGGAUUUCACACCAUCGAGUCAGUAGCAUACACACCGAAAAAAGCCCUGCUUGCUAUCAAAGGAAUAAGGGAAGCUACGUGUAAAGCUGAAAAAGUGCUCAAUGAAGCUUCUAAACUGGUGCCUGUGGGGUUCACAACUGCCACGGAAUUCCACCAACAGAGAUCAGAGCAUGUAUAUAUCACUACAGGCUCAAAGGAGCUGGAUAAACUAAUGCAAGGUGAAAUAUUUGAAGACAACUUUGGCAAGUCUCCUGGUGUUGAGUGAGGUUGCCACAGGGGAGGUCAUCUGAAAGCCAAAGACUAUAAAUGCCAAGAGGAAAGUGUUUUGAAGUCAAUCUGGUGUAAGUUCUUGGCUUUUGAGUAAUCGGACUAGGUCAUGCGGCUGCAUCAAAGAUGUUUGGUUUUCUUGGAUUAAAGCCCAUGACGAAGAACUGUUGGUCUAAAACCACGAAGAAAAUCAAAAAGGAAGCAAAGAAUUUGCUUAAAAAUGAGUUAAAUCGGGCAGCAUUUGUGGUGAAAGAAUACAAUUUUGCACUUGGGGAGGCAGAUUGCACCAGGGAACAAUUGAGCUAUGUUGUUGUGAAUGCCGGUGUUACUAUCAAUGCAUCGUGGUGCUCUAGAGGAUGGUCAGCUAUGGAUGCCGUCACUGCUGUCAUUUCUGUCGACACUGGAAAGGUUGUCGAUGUUCUAUGCAUGAGUAGUUCCUGUGCAGAAUGCAAGAAAAUGGAGAAAAAAAAAAGAAGACAGAUGGUGAAGUGAGCCAACUAGAAUCUCUCUCUUGGUUUACAAAACAUGAGCCCAACUGCUACCUAAAUCACGAUGGCAGUUCAGCAGUUAGCCUGCGCAGCAGGCAUAUAAGGUUCCUUUUUCCUCUCCCCCCACCUCCACUCCUCCAUUUUUUUCCCGGAAUUCUCUUUCUCCUCUCCCACCCCCUCCCCUUUAUACACCUGCUAUGCAGGCUAUUCAGCAGUAAGUUCUUAACAUAGUAAUUCUGAUUUUUUGCUUCUAGUAUACUAAUCGUGUAUCAAAAUUUCCUCACACAAUUUAUUAGAAAUGGAAGAGUGAUAAAUGUCUUUCUUCUCCACAGCUACAUAUAGGGUGGAAAGGGUUUGGAACAUACUGAGUAUUUGACAUGUUUGAACAUACACUGUAUUUCAAUUUGAAUUUUGCACUGUACCAAGGGUUUUGGAAUUUAGAACACCACCAAUUGCAAAUUUGUGAUGUCCUAGUUUUGUACCAGAUAUUUUUGACAGGUUGCAGGUUAGCUAAAACCCUUGUUUUAAUGGUACAUGGUAAUCCUUACCCUCACAAUUAUGCUAACCUUCCUUGUUAGAGACACUAUGGUCAGGCUAUAUAACAGGAAUGCUAUUCUCAGGCUUACCAAGCCACUAUUCUUGAGCUUACUGUGUUUGAUAAUUUUAAAACAGGGCUCACCUUGCAACCUCCAAAAAUAUACCUGCCACAGUUUUUUCAAAAUCAAUUUUGUUUUAAUGAAACUGCAUACAGCUUUCAAGCAAAAAUAAUAACAUUUUCUUUUCUUCUGAUGCUCUUUUGUAGUCUAUGGAGGCCGCUGGUGCAAAAAUACUGUAUUUGCGUUCUGUGCAAAGUAGGGGGCUGCGAUACAUAAUCCAUUCGUUGGUGAUGGUGACAGCAAAGGCUACAGUGCUGUGUGUAAGGCCAAUCCUUAUGGUCCUGCUGAGUUUAUUCCAAAAGAAGAAUGUAUUGCUCACGUUACCAACCAGUUGGGUACAGGAUUGAGAGCAUUACUGAAAGAAUGCAAGGGUAAAACGUUAGCUGAUAACAAAGCCCUGACUAGAGUGGGAAGGUUAACCCGUGCAAGAGUGGAUACCUUGCAGAAUUUUUAUGGCUGAGCCUUGAGGGAUAACAAAAAUAAUGCAAAAGAAAUGGCAAAAGCAACAAGAGCUAUUUUAAAGCAUUAUAGCAGCACGGUAGAAAAUCCUUGUCAUGAAGACUGCCUUGCGGGUGGUGAUUCCUGGUGCAGCUAUCAACGUGAUGUUGCUAAUGGCACUGAUCUGCACAAGCCUGUGAAGAAUCCAUUCCCUGAGGCAAUUGUUGAAGUAGUACAACCUUUGUUUCAUCGGUUGGGUGAUGAAUCAUUCCUAGCUGGGUGUGAAAAUUGUUACACCCAAAAUACAAAUGAAUCACUGCACCAUGUAAUCUGGGGAAAGGCAUCAAAAGAUGUAUACAGCUCUCCCCAGGAAAUAAGCAUAGCAAUCAGCCUUGGAGUACUAGAGUUCAACCAAGGAUUCCACAGAACAUAUUCGGAGCUACUACCCAUUCUUGGCAUUGGAGUUGAACCCCAAAUAGUGGAAGCGUGGCAGCGAAUUGAUGAAGAGAGGCUCUAUCAAGCUGAUUAUCGCAAUUCCACAGAUAGUAAACUUAGAAGAAAAAAAAAGAGGAAAGAGAAAUUAAAGAAGCAGAAUGCUUUUGUUCACCAGGAAGGUGUCAUGUACAAAUCACGGCCUUUCAUGGGAGAAAAUCAGAAAAAGACAGAAAUGUGGCCAAAGGGAAAAAAAGAAAUACAUCAAACAGAAAGAAAUGAGUUCUGAACAACACUGGUACAACCUUUAAUAGUAUUUAUAACUGAAUGUAACUCACAGUGGUACAUUUUGCUACUUGAAAUUGCUUUGUGUGAAGGUUGUUCCCGUUCAAUUUGUUGACUGAAACUAGCAAGUUUGCUUGUUUAUGAAUAAAUUAUUCAUAAACAAUCAUUGUCGACUUCUCAUCAAGUAGUGCUGAAGUACUUUGGCAAAUUUGUUUGUAAAAAAGAAAAACUUGUGUAGCCAUCCUUACACAGGCUAUAGUACAUAAUAUCACAGUUCACUUUAUUGAUUUUUAUUUAUUCUUCAGUGUCAUUAGUUGCAAUGGAUACAAAUUUGUAUAUCAAAUGUUCUACUCAAUCUUAGGCAGCUCCAUUGCCUGGCAAAACUCUGCCAUUGUCACUUGAAUCAAUGUGUAAACUUUAGAUUUGUGUUGCAUUUAAGAUCCUUGAAUGAGAAGGGGCGGUAUUUUUAAAAUUCCAGUAGUUUGCUUGUGGUGCUGUGCAAAAUCCUCUUACUGUACAUGCACAGAAUACUUUCAAUAUUUUAUUGUAAGUUACUAAAACCCAUAUUUUAUUGAUCAGUAGUUCUUCCAUCAUAAUUAUUUGGUUUUAUUAUCCAACUGCAGCGAGUACUGUCUAAGUAACAGUACAAAUAUACCGCGAUAUUGUACAGAAGAAAACCUGUCUGGCGUAUUUGUACAAUAGAAACCCUGUUUGGCGUAUUUGUACAGUAGAAAACCUGUUUGCCGUUCAGGUCGGCGCGUGCACGCAAAGCUGUCACACUCUCCCUCUUUUAUUGAUAAAUUUGUUGACAGCUGUUGGAUAAUAAAUCUCUCGUUAGAUGUUUUGGUGUUUAGUAUAGCUGUAUAUUUUUACUCAUUGUUUGUAUUUUGACUCGCCCUACGGGCUCGUCAAAAUACGGCACAACUCGUGAAAUACAUACAGCGAUACUGCACACCAAAACACCUAAUAAGAUAUAUGUAUUCUGUCAUAUGUGUAGCAAAUGAAGUUGCCAUACUGGACAGUACAAGAGACUGAUAUUUCUCAAUGGCAAGCGCAGUAUUGUUUCUCGAAAUUGACUUCUGACAUCAAUAGAACAUUUAAAACAUUAAGUAAGUCUCUGUAGUCACCAUAUGCUAAAGAGGCAAAAUUUUCUCCCAAUAUGGUCUUAGCUUUCGAAAGCGACCACCUAAGCUUGACAUUUUGGGUGGUCGCUUACGGGAGGUUCGACUGUGUUCUGAACCCAGAACAAACGCGGAUGAUACCAGCCUGACACUUGCCAGGACUGACAUUGAGCAAAUAAUUAAAUUAUCGCCUUAAUCACGACCUGAGUAAUGGGUACGAAUGGCUGUCUGCUAACAAGCUUACCCUAAAUAUGACAAGAACUGAGUUUAUGCUUAUUGAAUCAAGGCAGAAGUUAUCACAAUUUAUGGAAAGUCCCUCUCCUACUAUAAACAAGAAUGCAGUAGAACAAGUAAGCUCCGCUAAAUUCCUUGGAGUUCAUGUCGAUCAAAAUAUAAACUGGGAGUGUCAUUGAAAAUAUCUCUAAGAAGAUAGCUUGUGCCAUUGGUGCAAUUAAACGAAUUCGGCAUCUCACUCCAUUUAAUGUUUUAAUUAAAGUUUAUAAUAGCCUUAUCCAACCAUAUUUUGAUUAUUGCAAUGUAGUGUGGGGAAACUGUAACAAGGGCCUUUCUGAAAAACUGCAAAGGCUUCAAAAUCGCGCAGCUCGCACCCUGAUGUCUGCAAGCUAUGAUAGUAAUUAGGGUGGCGAAGACUCUUCCAUCAAAGAUUGGAACGGAAGUCUAUCCUAACGUAUAAAACAUUAAAUAGUAUAACACCUGAUUAUCUGAGAUCAAGAUUCGUAUAUCGUGACAACGUAAAUGCUUAUCGUUUAAGGAAUACCGAAAACAAAUUAGUACUUCCACAAUCUCGAACUAAUUAUCUUAAGAGAUGUUUUUCGUAGAGCGGAGCUCACUUGUAGAACAACUUACCAAUAGACCUAAGACAAGCAUCUUCACUGACCGAUUUCAAAUCUAAAUUAACAGAUUAAGUCGCCACGGUUUAAAGUAAUGUCUUAAUUUUAAGUAAAUUUUUAGACGGCCUCCAUGGAAAGCAGGUUUUUUUCAAUUUUUAUUGUAGUUAGGAAGAUAGGUUGAUAGUCCAGUAACUUUGUUGACUGAUGAAAAAACCGUGUAUAAUUAAAGUUAUCGUAUCUUAUCUUAUCAUAUCUUAGCCAAUUUAUCAUAACUUGACCUUCAGUUAAGUUCAAUUAGCCUUUCUUUACCACGUUCCAUGGCGAGACCUGUAAAGCUUUGUGGUUGUUUUCCAUGGCCUGUAAAGGAGGCCGGGACAAACUAUGACAGUUGCAGCGAACAGGAAAUCGAUCUUUAA